UACGUAGGGGGCUAGCGUUGUCCGGAAUCAUUGGGCGUAAAGUGCGUGUAGGCGGUCCGGUAAGUCCGCUGUGAAAGUCGGGGGCUCAACCCUCGGAUGCCGGUGGAUACUGUCGGGCUUGAGUACGGAAGAGGCGAGUGGAAUUCCUGGUGUAGCGGUGAAAUGCGCAGAUAUCAGGAGGAACACCAAUUGCGAAGGCAGCUCGCUGGGACGUUACUGACGCUGAGACGCGAAAGCGUGGGGAGCAAACAGG
rnacentral:rRNA from 1 species